GGCAAAGAUGGUUCACCUGGCACACUUGUCAUCACUAAGAUUAGUCUCUCCAAAUAAAAGAGCAAAGGUACCUCAGCACUGUCAUACUUGGGGAUGUGGCAGUAGGAGGGAUGUAUGCCAGAGGAUUUCCUGAGUACCCCAGUCAUUGGCUUUGGCAGGCUGAGCCUCUCUUGUGACUCCUUCAAAGCUAAAGCAGCGCUGGAAAUAUAUGCAUGGUAGAAUAUCCAAGGGCUUUGGAUGAACAGCAGUGGGGAAGAACCAACACAGAAUGUGGAUGUUGACCAUGACAAGAGAGCUUUGGGCCUUGAAGCUGUCUGAGGAAGGACUCAAGCUAUUUUGUUUUUGUAAGGAAAGGUGCUGAACUGGCAUAUUUGGUGGAAAAUAAAAGAAUGUACUGUGGCACAGAAACAUUCAUACAGCACAUCUGCCAGAGAAACCAACAGAAGGUGGCAAGACAUUUUUUAUUUUUCAACCAAAUGUACCUUUUAAUUUGA